rnacentral:rRNA from 1 species
GAUGAACGCUGGCGGCGUGCCUAAUACAUGCAAGUCGAGCGAACGGACGAGAAGCUUGCUUCUCUGAUGUUAGCGGCGGACGGGUGAGUAACACGUGGAUAACCUACCUAUAAGACUGGGAUAACUUCGGGAAACCGUAGCUAAUACCGGAUAAUAUUUUGAACCGCAUGGUUCAAAAGUGAAAGACGGUCUUGCUGUCACUUAUAGAUGGAUCCGCGCUGCAUUAGCUAGUUGGUAAGGUAACGGCUUACCAAGGCAACGAUGCAUAGCCGACCUGAGAGGGUGAUCGGCCACACUGGAACUGAGACACGGUCCAGACUCCUACGGGAGGCAGCAGUAGGGAAUCUUCCGCAAUGGGCGAAAGCCUGACGGAGCAACGCCGCGUGAGUGAUGAAGGUCUUCGGAUCGUAAAACUCUGUUAUUAGGGUAGAACAUAUGUGUAAGUAACUGUGCACAUCUUGACGGUACCUAAUCAGAAAGCCACGGCUAACUACGUG